GGCGCCGGCCCUCGAGCGGCAAACACCAGGUGCCAGGGCGUGAGCAACAGUUUGCGUGGAGGCCACUCGGUCUCCACAGCCACAAAUGAAGCCCGGCGCUGCAAGUCCCGGUCCAGGAAGAGCAGCACCGGCGUGGGCACCACCCGGCCUGACGCAUCGGCCGCCAAAACCCAGUCUCCGCGGUGCAGUUCCCGCAGCCCUUUCCGCUCGCCGCUCCACAGGCGCACAGUUGCAUUUCCCGGAAAGCAGCCGCCCGCCCGGACCGCCAAUGCAGCCCAGAAGGGCGUGGGAGUAGCACCUGAGAAUAACGGUCUCCUUGUGCGGAUCUGGGGAGCCCCCUGCAGGGUGGCAACCAGAGGAAAGGGCCACAAUGUUCCACGGCCAAGGAGGAAAGAAGGAAUGCCCCUUUUCCCAUCUCUAGGUAGGAGGAAGGCUUCAGGGCAGAAGCAAAAGGAAUUAUUUCUUCCCUGGACAGGUUUUCCUAACAAAGUAACCUGGAAAACUAUGGCAAUUAAUCAGAGGAAAUCCGUACCCCUCCCUCUCCCCCCACCUCCCCACUCCAUACACAAUUAGGUGGUGUAAUGGAAAGUAUAUAGGGCUUAGAAUCAGGAGUCCUGAAUUCUAGUCCCAGCCAUGCCACUUUAAAUUGUGAGAGUUUAAAUUGCUUUUCCUCCUGGGGGAAGUCCAGCUCUCAGAUGUAAAAUGAGGGUGGCAGUG
rnacentral:lncRNA from 10 species